rnacentral:rRNA from 1 species
AUGCAGUUUGAGCCUUAUAGGAAGGUAGCGGCUAUAUGUCGCAAUUUCAAUUCAGGACUAUUAACGGACACAAGCGGGGUAGAUCUUGCUUCUCCAAGCGCUCGAACUGAUGAGACCAUGUUCAGCACAUGCCAGAUCCACAAGGUGUGGGUUGGAGGUCCCCUUGUUGAUUUUGAUGGCAACUUCAUUGGGCUGAACUGCUCUUGUACCAAAGAAAAAAAGACCCGCUAUGUACGGAGGUCUGCAAUUCUUCGAUUCUUGGGGGUUCACGGGAUGGUCAGUGUUAAGGAAGUGGUUGAUGAUGCUACAAGAGCAUUCCUCAAAAGUCUGGCAGGAGAACCAUGUUACAACAUUCAAGGAGUCAAAUGUAUCAUUAAUCAUCUCGAAGAUACAUUCGACGAGGAUAUCUUGCAUAAACCAUUCAAAGGUGUUGCUUCAGAAAUGAAGCGAAGUGAUGGCUCUCUUUUGAAGAAAACUGCUGCCGAACUUGCUUCAGAAUCGAGCAAAAGUCUUGCUUCAGAAAUGAAUAAAAGUGUUGUCUCACUUGCUUCAUUCAAUGGAUUUGCAAAAAAGUUUGCUUGCACAGGUGUAUUUAUAAAGUGCAAUGCAUGCUCUGCAACAAUUCUGACUUCAGCAAGUUUGGUUUGA